AGUCGAGCGGUAGAGAGGUGCUUGCACCUCUUGAGAGCGGCGGACGGGUGAGUAAUGCCUAGGAAUCUGCCUGAUAGUGGGGGAUAACGUCCGGAAACGGACGCUAAUACCGCGUACGUCCUACGGGAGAAAGCAGGGGACCUUCGGGCCUUGCGCUAUCAGAUGAGCCUAGGUCGGAUUAGCUAGUUGGUGGGGUAAAGGCUCACCAAGGCGACGAUCCGUAACUGGUCUGAGAGGAUGAUCAGUCACACUGGAACUGAGACACGGUCCAGACUCCUACGGGAGGCAGCAGUGGGGAAUAUUGGACAAUGGGCGAAAGCCUGAUCCAGCCAUGCCGCGUGUGUGAAGAAGGUCUUCGGAUUGUAAAGCACUUUAAGUUGGGAGGAAGGGUCGUUACCUAAUACGUGACGAUUUUGACGUUACCGACAGAAUAAGCACCGGCUAACUCUGUGCCAGCAGCCGCGGUAAU
rnacentral:rRNA from 1 species